GUCUACGGCCAUGCCACCCUGAACAAGGCCGAUCCCGUCUGAUCUAGAAGCUAAGCAGGGUCGGGCCUGGUUAGUACUUGGCUGGGAGACCACCUAGGAAAACCAGGUGGUGUAGGCA
rfam:Pteropus alecto contig98712, whole genome shotgun sequence.